CGGGGUGCACCAGGCGCGAAAACUUUACAAUGCGGGAAACCGUGAUAAGGGGACACCGAGUGCCAGCAUCAUAUGCUGGCUGUCCGGGUGUGUAAAAUACACCCGUUAGCAAGGGCCGGGCAAGACCGGUGCCAGCCGCCGCGGUAACACCGGCGGCCCGAGUGGUGAUCGUGAUUAUUGGGUCUAAAGGGUCCGUAGCCGGUUUGGUCAGUCCUCCGGGAAAUCUGACGGCUCAACCGUUAGGCUUUCGGGGGAUACUGCCAGGCUUGGAACCGGGAGAGGUAAGAGGUACUACAGGGGUAGGAGUGAAAUCUUGUAAUCCCUGUGGGACCACCUGUGGCGAAGGCGUCUUACCAGAACGGGUUCGACGGUGAGGGACGAAAGCUGGGGGCACGAACCGGAUUAGAUACCCGGGUAGUCCCAGCCGUAAACGAUGCUCGCUAGGUGUCAGGCAUGGCGCGACCGUGUCUGGUGCCGCAGGGAAGCCGUGAAGCGAGCCACCUGGGAAGUACGGCCGCAAGGCUGAAACUUAAAGGAAUUGGCGGGGGAGCAC
rnacentral:rRNA from 1 species